AUUUAAUCACAUGUGUAUACGUGUGUAUAAUGGAACAGUACUUAGCUUGAAAGAGGAAUGAAAUUCUGACUUGUGCUACAACAUGCUAAACUCUGAAGACAUAUGCCAAAUGAAAUAAGCCAAGCAAGAAAAGCAUAUGAUUCUACUUAUAUGAGGCCGCCCUGCUUCAUAGGUGAAAGCCGCUUUGGCACCCGUGGGUGGUGCCUGCCGAAGUCACCAAGGCCUCGGGGAUGCAAGGAAGAUGCUCUUCCUUCUCUCCCUCACGAACCCCAGGCCAUCAAACUCCAAAUGAUCACGCAACCAGAGCCUCAGCUGAUGGCCCCUUCUUCCGGGGAUCCUCAGAUCGGUCUUUGAGGGAGCUCUGACUGCCGUUUCCCCAAAACAGCGCCCCCUGUCAGCAGGAGGCUAAGAUGGGUCUUCAUCCUUAUCCUUUCUAACUGCAGUCAGAUGGACUUCUUCAGAGCGGAGAAUGAGACAGCCAGGUGUAAAGGGGUCCCCAGAACACUAGGAGAAUGGGGGGUGAGGCCACAGAAUUUAGUGCCCUUUGCAGGGGCGAGGAGCCUGGCCCCUCCUGUUCCAGGGUGGAACCUGGGAUUCAAUCUGUAAGGUGGGAAACCGACUAGCAGGAGUCUUGCUCCGCUGAGGGUCCCUGUUUCCCCUUUUUUUCCUUUUCACCCAAUAAAUUCCAUUUUUCUCACUCUUCAAA
rnacentral:lncRNA from 1 species